rnacentral:rRNA from 1 species
CCUACGGGUGGCAGCAGUGAGGAAUAUUGGUCAAUGGACGCAAGUCUGAACCAGCCAUGCCGCGUGCAGGAAGACGGCUCUAUGAGUUGUAAACUGCUUUUGUACGAGGGUAAACGCAGAUACGCGUAUCUGUCUGAAAGUAUCGUACGAAUAAGGAUCGGCUAACUCCGUGCCAGCAGCCGCGGUAAUACGGAGGAUUCAAGCGUUAUCCGGAUUUAUUGGGUUUAAAGGGUGCGUAGGCGGUCGGAUAAGUUAGAGGUGAAAUCCCGGGGCUCAACCUCGGAAUUGCCUCUGAUACUGUUUGGCUCGAGAGUAGUAGCGGUAGGCGGAAUGUAUGGUGUAGCGGUGAAAUGCGUAGAGAUAAUGCAGAACACCGAUUGCGAAGGCAGCUUGCCGGGCUGCUUCUGACGUUGAGGCACGAAAGCGUGGGGAGCAAACAGGAUUAGAUACCCCAGUAGUC